GCACUGAAAGGAUAAUAAUUCUUUCUUUAUUUAUUUUUUGUGACUGUACUUUUAAGUCCAUCUUUUAGUAGAUUUUAAAUCUAGUAGCCGAAAAAAGUUAUUACUGUAACUCGCCUUAUUUUCUUACUUAUGGGCUGCACUUUGAUUUGUAAUAUUCCUAUUACGGAAAUAGAACUUACCUUUAGGUAAAUCCUAGACAACGGUAUACAAGCUAUUUAAAGUAAGUAGCGAUUACUUGGUGGUUGUCAAUUAUAUGGUAAGUUCCCCUAAAUUACUUCUUUCAGCCGCCAUAAUAUUUAAGUUUGGACCAUCUUAAUAGUAGUAAUCCUUGCUUUAUUAGUUUAAUUUCUGUAUAACUGGGUAUCUAAUCCAGGUUUAUAUUUUAGAAUUUAGCAUUUAUUAUUAAUAUAUAUUAAAUUUAUAAAUUAGUAAUAUUUCACCACACAAUAAUUUUUUAUAUAUGAUAAAUAAAACAAUAGUUAUAAAUUCACCUAUUAGGUAUGACCGCGGUUGCUGGCACCUAAUAUACCUAGAUUAAGCAAAUAAACUAAAUUUAAAUUUCCUUAAUUUAUUAAAACUUUUAACUGAAAAAAUAUUUGUAUUUCAUAUUAAAUUAGACUGCACACUUAUAGUACCAUCAUAUUAAAGUGGUAUGGUCUAAGGGGGAAUUUAUACCAUUUUAGA
rnacentral:rRNA from 1 species